GAGAUAGUAUUCUUUGAUUAUAAACCCAUGAUCAUUCCUUAAAUUAGUAGACGUGGGAUUUUCAUCCAACAAUGUUAAGCCAUUGUCUCUUUCAAAUGGUGUUGUAUGUGUAAGAGCAGCGUACAGAUGUUCAAAUUUUCUCAACGGGAGUCGCUUCUCCUAGUUCGGGGUCGGGUAUGACUCCUGAAGUUGAUGUUUGUUGUGUAUAUAUAUUAAGUUGCUUCGUGGGUGCUUCUUGCUGCAAAGCAAUUUGAAAGAAUGUUAUUCAGGAUCCAAUUUCUCUUAACCACAGUAGAAAUGCUUUGAUGCAGUUUGAUAAUUCAUAUUUUUCGUGCUUCAAGUUGAAUAUGCUAGAGAUUUGUUAGAACUCAGAAGGUUCAGAAAGUCUACUUAACAUUUUUGUAAGCGAGACCUUAAGGCUUUGCAGGUUUUUUGCUAAUCAUCAUUGAAGUGGGUAUAGAGGUGGGAUUCUCUCAAGCGGUCAAGGGCAUGCGUGCAGUUUUUGUUAGAGAACUUAUCUAGAUCCUAUCCUCAAUUGGACAUGGCUCAUGGCUCAGAAAAGGACUUAGACCAUCUAGGAACCGGCACCAGCCUGCCCAAAACGGAACCGCUGGAAAUACUCAUUUGAAAUCUGAUUCUGAUAGCUUUCAUUCUCCUGUAAGGGGAGGUUAUUAUUAGUAUUAUCAGGUCUGCAAAUAUUCCAGAUUAAUCCAUCUUGAAGUUAGUUGAAAUGUGGAAGCGGAGAUUUAUGCCAGUCUGCUUGAAAUACAAAACUAGAAUCUGUUUACUAAUGUUAGUCUGGCUAGUAUGUGUAUUAUGAGAUCCUAUAUUAGGUGGAGAGAAGAACGAAACAUUGUUGUUUAUAAGAGUGUGGAAACCUCUCCCUAUUAGACGUGUUUUAAAACAAUGAGACUGAUGGUGAUAAGUAAUAGGCAAAAGUGGACAAUAUCUACUACUGAUAGACUUGGGCUGUUACAAAUGGUAUUAGA